AUUGAACGCUGGCGGCAUGCCUUACACAUGCAAGUCGAACGGUAACAGGUCUUCGGAUGCUGACGAGUGGCGAACGGGUGAGUAAUACAUCGGAACGUGCCUAGUAGUGGGGGAUAACUACUCGAAAGAGUGGCUAAUACCGCAUGAGAUCUACGGAUGAAAGCAGGGGAUCGCAAGACCUUGUGCUCAUAGAGCGUCCAAUGGCAGAUUAGGUAGUUGGUGGGAUAAAAGCUUACCAAGCCGACGAUCUGUAGCUGGUCUGAGAGGACGAUCAGCCACACUGGGACUGAGACACGGCCCAGACUCCUACGGGAGGCAGCAGUGGGGAAUUUUGGACAAUGGGCGCAAGCCUGAUCCAGCAAUGCCGCGUGCAGGAUGAAGGCCUUCGGGUUGUAAACUGCUUUUGUACGGAACGAAAAGCCCUGGGUUAAUACCCUGGGGUCAUGACGGUACCGUAAGAAUAAGCACCGGCUAACUACGUGCCAGCCGCCGCCGUAAGAC
rnacentral:rRNA from 1 species